UACAGAGGGCCCAAGCGUUGUUCGGAUUCACUGGGCGUAAAGGGUGCGUAGGUGGUCAGGUAAGUCUGAUGUGAAAGCUCUGGGCUCAACCCAGAAAUGGCAUUGGAUACUAUCUGGCUAGAGGAAUGGAGGGGGGACUGGAAUACUUGGUGUAGCAGUGAAAUGCGUAGAUAUCAAGUGGAACACCAGUGGCGAAGGCGAGUCUCUGGACAUUUCCUGACGCUGAGGCACGAAAGCCAGGGGAGCAAACGGG
rnacentral:rRNA from 1 species